CAUUUUGAGGGCAAUCCAAAUGAGAUGUGACAAAGUGCAGCGCACUCUUUUUUUCUUGCUGACCUAUGUGAAAGUGGAGUUUGGUCUCUGCCAAGUUCUUUGUGUGUGAAUAGCCACAUCACUAUCCCUGCCACUGUAAUUAGCACUCUUAGCCCUUUAUUGGAAUUUAAAAUAAAUAGGCCAUGAUUUAGAUAUCACAGAGACUAAAUUAUCACCUUAAAUGAUCCACCCAGACUAGAAGAACAGUCAGCUUCUCCCAGCUCUCUCUUUUUUCCACUGUUUGACAGAAGUUACAAAGAUUUGCUGACACAUAAAGAAACGCCUUUGGAGAGCCAAACCACAACAGUAUGGAACAAACAGCUACGUUUGGGUUUCAUUCUUAACAAAACCAUGCUUUUUGUUUUAAACAAACAUAUAAUUUCCAAGGUGACAAGAAAUCUCCCACAGAAAUUGUAGAAUAAUAGGAUCUAGUAAAUGCUUGCUAUUCAAAAUAAGUUUACCACCACAGCAUCUGAAAACCUUAUCAUGAAGAAUACUAUGAGAUUGCAACAUGGCAGUUCUCUUAUCAAACUGCAAAUGGGAUCAAAACCAGGGAAAGAAACAGAUGCUGCAGUGAUUUCCAUGCACAGAUGCAGCCCUUCUUCCCUCUGCACCCCAAUCACGACUGGUAUGUUUGAACAACGAGGGCAAGGUUGGGGCUCUGUGGUGCUUGUAGCAGGAUUGCUUCUGGCCUGACUGCUUCUCACAAGGCCGCCUCCUACCCUGCUGCUGUUCAGUAGAAAAUGGCUCUAUGUUUUGGCACUAACUAGUUUGAUCUCUAUUGCCCUGCCUUGCCAGCAGCUGAUUACAGAAACUGCUUUUCCCUCUCUAUAUAAAGUAUGUUCAACUACAGGUUUUUGAUGUGAAAUGUGCCACA